rnacentral:rRNA from 1 species
AGGGAUGAAGGCCUUCGGGUCGUAAACCUCUUUUCCUGGGGAAGAAUAAUGACGGUACCCGGGGAAUAAGUCUUGGCUAACUACGUGCCAGCAGCCGCGGUAAU